rnacentral:rRNA from 1 species
AUUGAACGCUGGCGGCAUGCCUUACGCAUGCAAGUCGAACGGUAACAGGUCUUCGGAUGCUGACGAGUGGCGAACGGGUGAGUAAUACAUCGGAACGUGCCUAGUAGUGGGGGAUAACCACUCGAAAGAGUGGCUAAUACCGCAUGAGAUCUACGGAUGAAAGCAGGGGAUCGCAAGACCUUGUGCUACUAGAGCGGCCGAUGGCAGAUUAGGUAGUUGGUGGGAUAAAAGCUUACCAAGCCGACGAUCUGUAGCUGGUCUGAGAGGACGAUCAGCCACACUGGGACUGAGACACGGCCCAGACUCCUACGGGAGGCAGCAGUGGGGAAUUUUGGACAAUGGGCGAAAGCCUGAUCCAGCAAUGCCGCGUGCAGGAUGAAGGCCUUCGGGUUGUAAACUGCUUUUGUACGGAACGAAAAGCCCUGGGUUAAUACCCUGGGGUCAUGACGGUACCGUAAGAAUAAGCACCGGCUAACUACGUGCCAGCAGCCGCGGUAA